rnacentral:rRNA from 1 species
GAUGAACGCUGGCGGCGUGCCUAAUACAUGCAAGUCGAGCGAACGGACGAGAAGCUUGCUUUUCUGAUGUUAGCGGCGGACGGGUGAGUAACACGUGGAUAACCUACCUAUAAGACUGGGAUAACUUCGGGAAACCGGAGCUAAUACCGGAUAAUAUUUUGAACCGCAUGGUUCAAAAGUGAAAGACGGUCUUGCUGUCACUUAUAGAUGGAUCCGCGCUGCAUUAGCUAGUUGGUAAGGUAACGGCUUACCAAGGCAACGAUGCAUAGCCGACCUGAGAGGGGGAUCGGCCACACUGGAACUGAGACACGGUCCAGACUCCUAAGGGAGGCAGCAGUAGGGAAUCUUCCGCAAUGGGCGAAAGCCUGACGGAGCAACGCCGCGUUAGUGAUGAAGGUCUUCGGAUCGUAAAACUCUGGUAUUAGGGAAGAACAUAUGUGUAAGUAACUGUGCACAUCUUGACGGUACCUAAUCAGAAAGCCACGGCUAACUACGUG